rnacentral:rRNA from 1 species
CCCGGUGAGUAAGACUUUAACGGCCGCAGUUAAAAGCUGUGCUAAGGUAGCGUAAUAAUUUGUCCUUUAAUUAAGGAAAGGAAUGAAUGGUUUGACGUAAAAACUUCUGUCUCUGAAAUAAAAAGGAAACUUUAUUUUUAAGUGAAAAGGCUUAAAUUUAAUUAAAAGACGAGAAGUCCCUAUCGAGCUUAAAUAAUUUUUUAAAAGUAUUUUGAGAAGGUAAGUUUGGUUGGGGCAACUAAAGAGCAAAAUAAGACUCUUUUAUUUUAUCAGGAGCCAAAAGGUUUGAUUUAAAGAAAAAGCUACCGUAGGGAUAACAGCGUUAUCUUUUUUGAGAGAACAUAUUGAAGAAAAG